rnacentral:rRNA from 1 species
UACAGAGGGGGCAAGCGUUAUUCGGAAUUAUUGGGCGUAAAGGGCGCGUAGGCGGCUUUGCAAGUGACGGGUGAAAUCCCUCGGCUUAACCGAGGAACUGCCUGUCAAACUGCAUGGCUUGAGACCGGGAGAGGUGAGUGGAAUUCCCAGUGUAGCGGUGAAAUGCGUAGAUAUUGGGAGGAACACCAGUGGCGAAGGCGGCUCACUGGACCGGUACUGACGCUGAGGCGCGAAAGCGUGGGGAGCGAACAGG